rnacentral:lncRNA from 1 species
CCAUGGUGACUUAGAGGCCUGGAUUCUUAGUGGCAUCUCAUUUCCCAGGUCUGACUCAGCUCUCAAAUGAACAGUCGCCUUUCCCCAACAUCCUUCUUCGUUUCUGCACCACUGAGGAACUUUUUGGCCUGGGGUUAUUCUGCUCCCAACGUGAGCUAACACCCACAGAAGCAGGUUUCUCCUGGGAAACCGGCCAAGUCCAUCUGGAUCCACUGAGAAGCAGACACCAAGAUUACAUUAGAAGUGAUUCCAAUUGGAGAGAUUCCCAUUGGAAGAAAAAGGAAGAGUGAGAAGGUGGGAAAUCCUUUCAUACUGUGAAGCAGGCUUGAUCUCUGUAA